GGAUUAAUUUAUUGGUCGUGCUAUUGUACGUACUGAUAUUAUUGAUUCCUACCUUCUGACGAAUCAUGAUGUCAUUAAUUUGGUGUCAUGGGGAAUCAGGGCUGUUACUUUGAAAAAAUUAGAGUGUUUAAAGCAGGCUCACGCUUGAAUACAUUAGCAUGGAAUAACGAAAUAGGACGUUUGAUUCUAUUUUGUUGGUUUCUAGGACCGCUGUA
rnacentral:rRNA from 1 species